CUGGUGCCACCAGUUACAUUUAUUAGUAUUAUCAGUGCCUGUGUGUUCUUGGUAACUUCUAAUGCUUUGAUGUCUUAUGGGGAACCAGGUCUUGAAGUUUCAUUAAAACUAACCCUGGUGCAAUUGGCCAAAACUGAACUCUGUUCCAGAAAACUGAGGUUUGGGGCCACUGGAAUCCUCACUGUAAUUCUAAGAGUUUAGCCCAGCCAAAGGUCUGGGACUUCAACAAAGCAGGGAUUACAGUCUACCAGAUGAAUCCCUCUUCCAAGGGAAAGCAUGGAAGCUGUGGCUUGACUGUGUUUUAUAGGGAAGGAGAAGCCACUUAACCCUCUCUUGGUGUUAGCAAAAUGGCCAUUGAAGUGGAAAUGUUUUA